GCCUCGUUCAACGUGUUCUGCUUAUUUAAUCAAAGUUAAACGUGCAUCGUGAUUUUCAAAGUCUUAUUUUGCGUGCUCGGUAUUUUCAAAUAAAAUUCACACUUGGCAGGGAUCUGUCAGAAUACUUUUUAAAAGCUGUAAACCAAUUAAAUCAUAAAUGUGUAUACUAAAUCGGGAAUAUCAAGUAAAACAAAGAGUUAAUAUAUACAAAAAGACAGUGAUUCAGUCACAAAAGGUUCACAUAAAAGUAUUUAUUUUUCGUGCAACGUUCAUUACAGAAAUUAUUUCACGUUCAACGUGAAAUUAUGUCUUAUUUCACGUUUUUUUCGUGCAAGCACCCCCCUUUACCAC
rnacentral:lncRNA from 1 species